rfam:Schistosoma haematobium scaffold246_22, whole genome shotgun sequence.
AUCCAGCUGACGAGUCCCAAAUAGAACUAAACGUGAGUCAAACUGGAU